AAAAUGCAAUUCGAUCCCUAGUACAAUGACUUCCAUAAUACUUUUACCAUAUCUCGAUGACAAAAAAAAGGUGUUUGGCAGCUUGAAAAUAAUUUAUACUUGGAAAAUGGAUUCCAAGACACGGGUAAAAUGACUUGCAAUUUGGGGAAAAUGUCUUACCGAUUUCUUUUCAGUAAGACAUUUUCCAUCUCCUUCAUCCAGGCAAUACACGCUGCUAUUUCGUCUUUCUCAGGCAAAGCUCUUUUUUAGGUUGCUGUGCCUGAUUCUCUCUCCCUUUAGCUCCUUUUGUCAAUUUCCAUCUUGUUCUAGGCUGCGUUACCUAUAACCUCGGAACCGGCAGUGGUACAUCUGUGCUUGAAAUGGUUGCUGCUUUUGAGAAAGCUUCUGGAAAGCUGAAAAUAUUGCAGAAAAUCCCCAUUAAACUAUGCCCCAGAAGUCCAGGAGAUGCUACAGCUGUUUAUGCUUCCACUAAAAAAGCUCAAAAAAGAACUUGGUUGGAAAGCAAAAUACGGUAUAGCAGAGAUGUGCAGAGAUCAAUGGAAGUUGGCAAGCAACAAUCCAUGGGGAUACCAGUCAAAGCCUUAGGCUUCAACUAAAUACUAAUUUUCUUCCCCAGUCUUUUUAAAAAUGUCUCAUAGGGAGAAUUAAGUGUACAAAUCCUUGUUUAAUUUAAACAAAACUGAUCUUUGAUGAUCAAAAGUUAGGAUUUAUCAAAUGUUCAAAGAUCUUAUAAAAUUCCUUUGUGUUACAUUUAUAAGUCUUUGUAAGAGUGAUGUUUUUAUCAUUUCUGGAGUUUAAAAAAUAAAUGGUUUUAAGUUCACUGUAAGGAGUUGAUCUAAACAA